GAUGAACGCUGGCGGCGUGCCUAAUACAUGCAAGUCGAGCGAAUGGAUUAAGAGCUUGCUCUUAUGAAGUUAGCGGCGGACGGGUGAGUAACACGUGGGUAACCUGCCCAUAAGACUGGGAUAACUCCGGGAAACCGGGGCUAAUACCGGAUAACAUUUUGAACCGCAUGGUUCGAAAUUGAAAGGCGGCUUCGGCUGUCACUUAUGGAUGGACCCGCGUCGCAUUAGCUAGUUGGUGAGGUAACGGCUCACCAAGGCAACGAUGCGUAGCCGACCUGGGAGGGUGUGCGGCCACACUGGGACUGAGACACGGCCCGGACUCCUACGGGAGGCAGCAGUAGGGAAUCUUCCGCAAUGGACGAAAGUCUGACGGAGCAACGCCGCGUGAGUGAUGAAGGCUUUCGUGUCGUAAAACUCUGUUGUUAGGGAAGAACAAGUGCUAGUUGAAUAAGCUGGCACCUUGACGGUACCUAACCAGAAAGCCACGGCUAACUACGUGCCAGCAGCCGCGGUAA
rnacentral:rRNA from 1 species